UGAAAGGAUUUAGGCCCAGAAUCCAUAUUUCAUUUUCAUUUCACCUACUAGCUUCAUUUCUUUCCUUUGUGCGAGCAACAGUACGGCGAAGUUAGGGCUUCCAUUCUGACACCUAAUUUUCGUUUCUACCUCCUAUUUGUUUGCUAAUUCGUAUAUAAUUAAGAUCCGACGAGUCAUCCAACUACCGGAUCAGGGGUUCAAGAAGUUUGACGGGUUUUGCAGAGUUAUAUAUUUUGGGAUAGCGGUUUCAGUAAAUAGUAUUUUGGCGUGAUCAGACUUCCAUUCCUUCUUUCGGAAGUCAGUGUUUUGUAAUGUAAAGAAAACGCUGUUUACUUCUAGAGCCGCAGUAGUUUAGUAGUUUGGUUUUGCUGUACAAACUCUGCUUUCGAAACUACUACUGGUUGUAUAAUAUUUAUGGUUAAUGUGUAGUAGUGUUUAACUAAAUGGUUUAUCGGGUAUCACUUAUACCGUAUUUGUGUAUCAUGAUGUCGUUAUGUUUGUUACAGGGUGGUUUGUGAUACUUGUUACAGGUGGUGAUGUUCUGUUUUCA